rnacentral:lncRNA from 1 species
GAAAAAUGUUAACCUAUAAUUAAUAAUUAGAAUAAGUCAUAGUAGUAGAAUUUUCUGUAAUUCAGAGUUAAAUAAAAACAGCGAUAGAGUGACUGUCAGAAGACUAUUACAGGCAGGCACGGUGGCUCACAGCCAUAAUCCCAGUACUCUGGGAGGCCGAGGUGGGUGGAUCACUUGAGGUUAGGAGUUUGAGACCAGACUGGCCAACAUAGUGAAACCCCAUCUCUACUGAAAAUAUAAAAAAUUAGCCAUACAUGGUGGUGAGUGCCUGUAAUCCCAGCUACCUGGGAGGCUAAGGCAAGAGAAUCACUUGCAGUGGAGUGAUUGGAGUCAGGAGGUUACAGUGAGCUGAGAUUGCACUGCUAUACUCCAAACUGGACAACAGAGUGAGACCCCAUCUCAAAAAAAAAAAAAGAAAGAAAGAAAGACCUGUGAAUUCUAACAGAGGUAUACGUUUUAUUUUGUCUAAGUAUUUAGUCUCCAUUAAUUUUGAUAGGAGAAAAUAAAUAGCUAGAUUUAUUUAUGUAAAUGAAGAUUAAAUUUCUCCUUUAUUUUUUAGGCUACUCCCAUUUUGCAAAACAAAAUUAAAGGAAUGAAAAUAUGUUCCAUGUUAUUGCCAUCGAUAACUGUGAAUAGGGCAAUUCAACAACUGCAGCCUGACAGAAGCAAGGCAACUAACUCUUCAGAAACCAUGAGGAUGAAGAUCCAUGCUAUCCUACAAGGCAAACAACCAGGAGAAGCGAAAUGCCACCAGCAGGGUAGCUCUGGAACUUGUAGAGCUGAAGUGGAGAAAUCAGGCAAGUGUUGAACCUACAUGUUAAGACACUGUUCAGAUAUAUUUAUUAUCUGGAUGGAUCUUGCCUGAUUAAUGCAAUUGUGCACAGUACUGAGGAAAAGCUAACUAGGUAAGGCGAACAAUGGUGAUUUAAAUAAAUAAAUCCAUAUAAAUGUACUGACUUCCAAAAGUAUAUACUGUAUUACAAGUUGACUGUUUAAAAGCUGUAAUAACCUAUUGGCAUUUUUUUCUCUCUCAGCAGAUGGUGAGCUAUUUUAGAAAAGGACUGACAUGAAUUGAUUAUAGUGUGUUUGUGUGCAUCACCACUUAGAAUAGUACCCCAUGUGUAAUAGUACUCCAUAUAUGUUUGUUGAAGAAUUGAAAAAAAAAAUAAAACAUAUAUUGUAAUUCCUCAACUGCCAAGUAGCUUUAACAUUGAUAGAGUUUGAACCAAACAAGACAAAUUUUGAUGUUUAGGUAAAAUAAUAUAUAUUUUGGCUCUUAAUUUGCUUUGGUAGUACAUAAAUUGAUUGCCAUUUAAAUGGAAAAAUAAUAGUUUCAAAUAUCAGUCUCUAGAGAAACAGAUUUACAGAAUUCCAACCAGGUAGAACUCUAAAGAAAUGAGUUGAAAUACUUCCAUGGUAGAAAUAUAAUUAAAAACAAGUAUUAAUUUUUGUGUGUAUCACACAUUAGGGAACUCUAAGUAAUAAGUAUGCCAAAAAUAAAUAGGGUCUAACACCACUGACAUUGAAGUUAUAAAAAUCAACUUCAUAAAAAGAGAAAAAUGUAUUAAAUCUCUGACUAUAUAUACAAAUAAUUGUUAUAAAGUAUUAUAUAUUUAAUGUUAUACAAAUAUGGAAAAGAAAUGGAAAAUGUAUGUGUGAUAUUUAUAUCUUAUCAUAAAUAAAUCUCUCUUCAGUGCUUGAAUACUCACUCAUCUUGUAUAUUGUGUGAAUUACCUCAGCAUCUGCACGGCAAAAAUUACUGUGUUUUCAAAUCCAAACAGCUAACGAUUGAAAAAAGACUUUAAGAGCCACCAUUUGAACAUUCAAUAAUGUUUUGUUUGCCUUAACAGCUGAUUCAGAAUGCAACAGACUCUGUGGAGUUGAUUCAGGGUUAGAAAUGUAUAAUAGACAUAGUGAUUAGAG